UCCAAAAAUUGCACCUCUCGCUACAAGAAAAGGUGGUAAAGUCGAUUUUCAUUUCACGAUGCUGGUUUCAGGCGUCGGAGUGUGGGAACUGUUGGAUUUUAAGACGAUAUCUUUAAGCAUCGUCGGACUCCACCUAAAUCCAACCGCCCUAAGCGCAGCCUCCACGCUUCGAUUUCUCUUCUCCUCCUCCCGCGUCCUCGUUACCGAGGCCAUCCACCGCCCCCUCCACCUCUUAAAAGCGUCGACAUCCCCUCCCUUUCCUCGUCUUUGUCGCUACUGAAGGGCACCGACAUCCACCUCCUUCUCCUCCUCGACGUUUGUCUCCACCGAAGGGGACUGCGAUUCUGCUCCGGAAGCUGAAGGGGAAGCCCGACCUCGAUCUCUUCCUCUCUUUUUCUCGAAGGAAGGUGAGGAGGUCUAUACAAUUUUUCUUGGAUAAGCUUUUGAGUCAGACACCUGAUCAGCAACAGACUUUUUCUACAAUUAGUGAGAUGAGGAGUCCUAUACAGUUUGUCUUGGAUAAUCUUUUGAGUCAGACACCUGAUCAGCAACAGACUUUUUCUGCAAUUAGGGAGGUGGGUUGCAUAUUUAAAUUCAACAAGAGAUUGAGCAUUCAUAUACAUUUACUGCUUAAAAGAUGAAUCAGAGACAUGAGAUACAGUUACAGGAGAUGAGCCAGAGAUAUGACUUACAUACAGAUGGAGAAGCUGAGGCAAAGCUAUCAAAUAGAGAUAAUGUUAUUGAAGACUCGGGUUGAUGACAUCACAUCUUUUUAAAGGGUUUUGCCCCACAUCAGCGUUUCGAUGCUUCCAACAGUCACCAAGAUGAUGAUGAUGAUGAUACCAUGGACAAGUGAUUAUCCUAUUUUUUUUAAUAUUUUUGCAUAUGAUGUAUCUUUUUGUAUUUUUUUUAUAACUUCGUUCGGCUGUAAUUUUAGACAUUCAUUAAUCUUACAUAAUGUAAAAACUUGUCAUUUUGAUAUGCAAUACAAAUAUUUUUUUGAAGUUUGUUGUAUGUUGUGUAUAUCGGCAAGUUAAUUAUUUUUUUAUGGUAUAUCUUAACAUGAAUUUUCUAAAGAAGUGUUAUGCUAUUUUUACAACUAUGAGAAAAUUUAAGGUAGAUGCUUCUUUACUAGUGUAUUGGCCAACAGGACCAUCAAAAUCUUGUGAAGACGUGUUCCUUCAUUGAGGAAGGAAUUACUAAUAUAACCGGUAUGACUAUCAAGUGGAAGGAGGGAAUGGUAAGCGCCAUAUCUUCUAUGUACAAUAUUCAUUGAUAAUUUUUUGAGUUAGGUAUUAUUUUUAAUAUUUUUUUCUUAUAAUAUAUGUAGAAUAUUGCCAAUCAUAAUGGUCAUGAGAAGAAGGUAAGCAACCGGCCUCUUCUAACAUACACAUUCUACUUCUCAUCCUUUCAAGUUUUACCACACUUGUAUUCCAUUAUUCUCAUCUCUACCACAAAGAUACUGAACACAAGUUUAACAAUAACCUUUGUUGAACAUGAUUUUGUAUCAUAGAUUUAUGAGGUAUUGGCAUCUAGGCACCCUGAUGUGGAGCUUAUACAUAUACUUGUUGUCUUACUUAAUGGUUCAUUUGCUUAUUUUUUAUGAUGGUAGGGGGUGUGGUGCAUGAAUAGGCCCUUUUGCUACAGGAAUGUGAGUCGGAACUCUUUCACUUAUAUAUAUAAUCUUGAUAUGAUAUAAUUAUUAAUUUUACCAUAUUUUUUCUCUAUGGUUGAAAAUUUCUGGCUAUUUAAUCAUGGCUCAACUUACCAUAAUUUGACUGACAUAAUCAUUUGCUUUAUACUUUGUUAGUUCAGAGAAGCUUGGGGAAUGAAGAUGGGUAUUUUUAAAAUCAUUCGAAGGAUCUUUCCAAAUCCCAUCUAGUCUCAUAAAACUAUAUCGGUGCUGUCAAUUUAAACAGGAAAAGGCAGU